GAGACACCCCUGUGGAGCAGUACUUGCUUCAGUGGGGCUUUGGUGCUCACUGAGACUUCCCCUUGAGUGCGUCACU
rnacentral:pre_miRNA from 1 species